rnacentral:rRNA from 1 species
AUCGAACGCUGGCGGCAGGCCUAACACAUGCAAGUCGAGCGAGCGGCGGAUGGGUGAGUAAUGUAUGGGGACUGCCCGAUAGAGGGGGAUAACUACUGGAAACGGUAGCUAAUACCGCAUACUAUCGGAUAACCCAUAUGGGAUUAACUAGUAGGUGAGGUAAUGGCUCACCUAGGCGACGAUACCUCGCUGGUCUGAGAGGAUGAUCAGCCACACUGGGACUGAGACCCGGCCCAGCCUCCUACGGAGGCAGCAGUGGGGAAUAUUGCACAAUGGACUCAAGCCUGAAGCAGCCAUACCGCGUGUAUGAAGAAGGCCUUAGGGUUGUAAAGUACUUUCAGUCGGGAGGCGUUACCGACAGAAGAAGCACCGGCUAACUCCGUGCCAGCAGCCGCGGUAAUAC